rnacentral:rRNA from 1 species
UACGUAGGGCGCAAGCGUUAUCCGGAAUUAUUGGGCGUAAAGAGCUCGUAGGCGGUUUGUUGCGUCGGCUGUGAAAUCCCGAGGCUCAACCUCGGGUCUGCAGUCGAUACGAGCAAACUAGAGUGUUGCAGGGGAGACUGGAAUUCCUGGUGUAGCGGUGAAAUGCGCAGAUAUCAGGAGGAACACCGGUGGCGAAGGCGGGUCUCUGGGCCGAUACUGACGCUGGAGGAGCGAAAGCGUGGGGAGCGAACAGG